rnacentral:rRNA from 1 species
CCUACGGGAGGCAGCAGUGGGGAAUAUUGCACAAUGGGGGAAACCCUGAUGCAGCGACGCCGCGUGAGUGAUGAAGUAAUUCGUUAUGUAAAGCCCUAUCAGCAGGGCAGAAAAUGACGGUACCUGAGUAAGAAGCACCGGCUAACUACGUGCCAGCAGCCGCGGUAAUACGGAGGGUGCAAGCGUUAUCCGGAUUUACUGGGCGUAAAGGGAGCGUAGACGGCAGUGCAAGUCAGGGGUGAAAGGCGGGGGCUCAACCCGCGGACCGCACUGGAAACUGUGCGGCUGGAGUGCGGGAGAGGUAAGUGGAAUUCCUGGUGUAGCGGUGAAAUGCGGAGAUAUCAGGAGGAACACCGGUGGCGAAGGCGACUUACUGGACCGUAACUGACGCUGAGGCUCGAAAGCGUGGGGAGCAAACAGGAUUAGAUACCCGUGUAGUC